CUGCGCCCAGUGUGGUAUUAAUGUCGCUAAUAGACACGCCCAGCGCCUGAGCUUUUUCCUGGUCGAUAUCGAUUUUA
rnacentral:tRNA from 1 species